GAGAGAACUCGGGUGAAGGAACUAGGCAAAAUGGCACCGUAACUUCGGGAGAAGGUGUGCCCCUGCUGGUGACCAAAGCGGAAUCAGCUGGUGGGGGUUGCAGUGACCAGGUGGUGGCGACUGUUUACCAAAAACAUAGCACUCUGCAAAACCGUGAGGUGAAGUAUAGGGUGUGACGCCUGCCCGGUGCUGGAAGGUUAAGAGGAGAGGUG
rnacentral:rRNA from 1 species